rnacentral:rRNA from 1 species
GGUCAAGUUAUUAAGGGUGCAGGGCGGAUGCCUUGGCACUAGGAGCCGAUGAAGGACGUGAUAAGCUGCGAUAAGCUUCGGGGAGUUGCACGUAAACUUUGAUCCGAAGAUUUCCGAAUGAGGAAACUCACUUAGAGUAAUGUCUAAGUAUCAUUAAGUGAAUACAUAGCUUAAUGAGGGGAACUCAGGGAACUGAAACAUCUAAGUACCUGAAGGAAGAGAAAGAAAUUCGAUUCCGUAAGUAGCGGCGAGCGAACGCGGAUUAGCCCAAACCAAUAAAGUUUUCUUUAUUGGGGUUGCGGACAUAUCAUAACGAAGAGGUAUCGUAAUUGAAGAGGUUUGGAAAGACCCACCACAGAAGGUAAUAGUCCUGUAUGUUAAACGAGAAGACUUUAGAUAUGAUCCA